rnacentral:tRNA from 1 species
GAGAAUAGUCCAAUAAAAAGACAUCUGAAUUCGGCUCAUAAAACAUUGGUGAAAAUCCAACCCUCCUU